rnacentral:rRNA from 1 species
AGUGAACGCUGGCGGCGUGCUUAACACAUGCAAGUCGAACGAGAACGGAAUAUAGCUUGCUAUAUUUGUCAGCUAAGUGGCGCAUGGGUGAGUAAUGUAUAGAUAACCUGCCCUUAAGAAAGGAAUAACAGUUGGAAACGACUGCUAAUGCCCUAUAUGCCUUUAAUACAUAAGUAUGCAAGGGAAACGCUUUAGUGCUUAAGGAUGGGUCUGUAUGGUAUCAGCUUGUCGGUGAGGUAAUGGCUCACCAGGGCUAUGACGCCUAACUGGUUUGAGAGGAUGAUCAGUCACACUGGAACUGAGACACGGUCCAGACUCCUACGGGAGGCAGCAGUGGGGAAUAUUGCACAAUGGACGAAAGUCUGAUGCAGCAACGCCGCGUGGAGGAUGACACAUUUCGGUGCGUAAACUCCUUUUAUAUAGGAAGAUAAUGACGGUACUAUAUGAAUAAGCACCGGCUAACUCCGUGCCAGCCGCCGCAGUAA